CAAAGGCUUGCCGCUAUAGGAUGGGGAUGCGUCUGAUUAGAUAGUAGGCGGGGUAACGGCCCACCUAGUCUACGAUCAGCAGGGGUUCUGAGAGGAAGGUCCCCCACACUGGAACUGAGACACGGUCCAGACUCCUACGGGAGGCAGCAGUGAGGAAUAUUGGUCAAUGGGCGAGAGCCUGAACCAGCCAAGUAGCGUGCAGGAUGACGGCCCUAUGGGUUGUAAACUGCUUUUAUAUGAGGAUAAAGUUCGUUACGUGUAACGUUUUGCAGGUAUCAUAUGAAUAAGGACCGGCUAAUUCCGUGCCAGCAGCCGCGGUAAUACGGAAGGUCCGGGCGUUAUCCGGAUUUAUUGGGUUUAAAGGGAGCGCAGACGGUCAGUUAAGCGUGCAGUUAAAUGAUGUGGCUCAACCAUGUUAUGCUGCGCGAACUGUCUGACUUGAGUUCACGGAACGUGGGCGGAAUUUGUGGUGUAGCGGUGAAAUGCUUAGAUAUCACGAAGAACUCCGAUUGCGAAGGCAGCCCGCGGCAGUGUUACUGACGUUCAUGCUCGAAGGUGCGGGUAUCGAACAGGAUUAGAUACCCUGGUAGUCCGCACGGUAAACGAUGGAUGCUCGCUGUCGGCGAUACAGUGUCGGCGGCCUAGUGAAAGCAUUAAGCAUCCCACCUGGGGAGUACGCCGGCAACGGUGAAACUCAAAGGAAUUGACGGGGGCCCGCACAAGCGGAGGAACAUGUGGUUUAAUUCGAUGAUACGCGAGGAACCUUACCCGGGCUUGAACUGCAGCGGAAGGAUACAGAGAUGUUGACGCCCUUCGGGGCCGCUGUGGAGGUGCUGCAUGGUUGUCGUCAGCUCGUGCCGUGAGGUGUCGGCUUAAGUGCCAUAACGAGCGCAACCCUUUUCUUCAGUUGCCAUCAGGUCAUGCUGGGCACUCUGGAGACACUGCCACCGUAAGGUGUGAGGAAGGUGGGGAUGACGUCAAAUCAGCACGGCCCUUACGUCCGGGGCUACACACGUGUUACAAUGGGUGGUACAGAGAGUCGGUCGUCUGCAAAUGCGAUCCAAUCCUUAAAGCCAUCCUCAGUUCG
rnacentral:rRNA from 1 species